AGCUCACCGCGGGGACGGUGACGUCCCUGGCAGGGUAAACCCCACCCGGAGAAAGGCCAAACAGAGGCAAAGGAGUGGUCCGCUCCGUUCCCGGCUCUGCCGGGUCGAUGCCCGGGUAGGCCGUUCGAGUCGUCCGGCAACGGGCAACCUAGAGGAAUGACCGCACAUCGACGCAUGUCGGUGAACAGGACUCGGCUUACAGCCCGCUCACCACU
rnacentral:RNase_P_RNA from 1 species